CCGGGUCCGGACACACUGAGGAUUGACAGGUAACGUUAUACACACAUAUAUUUACUCUCGGGUAUUUAUACUGCUGUGUAUAUAUAAAAUAUGCUAGUCCUUUCAUGAUUAUGUGAUAGGUGGUGCAUGGCCGUUCUUAGUUCGUGGAGUGAUCUGUCUGCUUAAUUGCGUUUCACUAAGGAUCUAUAUUCAUAUUACGCAUAGCAUUUUGACCCCUUUAUGCUUCGGUAUAAAGCUGCGCGUCAAACCUUGCUAUCUGCGUAUAUUAGAUCCUGAAAGCAACGAACGUGACCGCAACCUCUUGUUGCCUUUAACUAGGUUUUGCUUACGUAUAGCUUCGGCUUUACGCUUUGCAUCUAAAAAGGCUGAUUUUCUAAACUAGAGGGACCGCUGUUACUUUCUUAAACCAGAGGAAGGUUGCGGCAAUAACAG
rnacentral:rRNA from 1 species